rnacentral:rRNA from 1 species
ACGACUCUCGGCAACGGAUAUCUCGGCUCUCGCAUCGAUGAAGAACGUAGCGAAAUGCGAUACCUGGUGUGAAUUGCAGAAUCCCGCGAACCAUUGAGUCUUUGAACGCAAGUUGCGCCCGAGGCCACUCGGCUGAGGGCACGCCUGCCUGGGCGUCACGC